AGUGAACGCUGGCGGUAGGCCUAACACAUGCAAGUCGAACGGCAGCACAGUAAGAGCUUGCUCUUACGGGUGGCGAGUGGCGGACGGGUGAGGAAUACAUCGGAAUCUACUUUUUCGUGGGGGAUAACGGAGGGAAACUUACGCUAAUACCGCAUACGACCUACGGGUGAAAGCAGGGGAUCUUCGGACCUUGCGCGAUUCAAUGAGCUGAUGUCGGAUUAGCUAGUUGGCGGGGUAAAGGCCCACCAAGGCGACGAUCCGUAGCUGGUCUGAGAGGAUGAUCAGCCACACUGGAACUGAGACACGGUCCAGACUCCUACGGGAGGCAGCAGUGGGGAAUAUUGGACAAUGGGCGCAAGCCUGAUCCAGCCAUACCGCGUGGGUGAAGAAGGCCUUCGGGUUGUAAAGCCCUUUUGUUGGGAAAGAAAAGCAGCAGGUUAAUACCCCGCUGUUCUGACGGUACCCAAAGAAUAAGCACCGGCUAACUUCGUG
rnacentral:rRNA from 1 species